UACGUAGGGACCAAGCGUUGUUCGGAUUUACUGGGCGUAAAGGGCGCGUAGGCGGCAAUUCAAGUCAUCUGUGAAAUCUCCGGGCUUAACUCGGAACGGUCAGAUGAUACUGCUUUGCUCGAGUGCGGAAGGGGCAAUCGGAAUUCUUGGUGUAGCGGUGAAAUGCGUAGAUAUCAAGAGGAACACCUGAGGUGAAGACGGGUUGCUGGGCCGACACUGACGCUGAUGCGCGAAAGCCAGGGGAGCGAACGGG
rnacentral:rRNA from 1 species